AACCAUUCUCACCUGCGGCUAGACCUGCGGAAGGAUCAUUAAAAAUCUAAAUUAUCCUAUCAAAUUAUAUGGAUAAUACAUCCAUAUUCAUUUCAUGUGCAUCUAUCGAUCGUAUACUUUGACGGACCUUUCUUUCUCGAUUUUAUUUCUAGAAAGAUGGAGAUAUUGAAUCUCGGGGUCCGUCAAAGUUUUCCUUUUUUUCUCCUUCUGAAUCCUACAAAUUCUAAAAAAUUUUAAUGU
rnacentral:misc_RNA from 1 species